UACAGAGGGUGCGAGCGUUGUUCGGAAUUAUUGGGCGUAAAGGGCGCGUAGGCGGACUCUUAAGUCGGUGGUGAAAUCCUGGAGCUCAACUCCAGAACUGCCUUUGAUACUGAAGAUCUUGAGUUCGGGAGAGGUGAGUGGAACUGCGAGUGUAGAGGUGAAAUUCGUAGAUAUUCGCAAGAACACCAGUGGCGAAGGCGGCUCACUGGCCCGAUACUGACGCUGAGGCACGAAAGCAUGGGGAGCAAACAGG
rnacentral:rRNA from 1 species